rnacentral:rRNA from 1 species
AGUGAACGCUGGCGGUAGGCCUAACACAUGCAAGUCGAACGGCAGCACAGUAAGAGCUUGCUCUUACGGGUGGCGAGUGGCGGACGGGUGAGGAAUACAUCGGAAUCUACUUUUUCGUGGGGGAUAACGUAGGGAAACUUACGCUAAUACCGCAUACGACCUACGGGUGAAAGCAGGGGAUCUUCGGACCUUGCGCGAUUGAAUGAGCCGAUGUCGGAUUAGCUAGUUGGCGGGGUAAAGGCCCACCAAGGCGACGAUCCGUAGCUGGUCUGAGAGGAUGAUCAGCCACACUGGAACUGAGACACGAUCCAGACUCCUAAGGGAGGCAGCAGUGGGGAAUAUUGGACAAUGGGCGCAAGCCUGAUCCAGCCAUACCGCGUGGGUGAAGAAGGCCUUCGGGUUGUAAAGCCCUUUUGUUGGGAAAGAAAAGCAGCAGGUUAAUACCCCGCUGUUCUGACGGUACCCAAAGAAUAAGCACCGGCUAACUUCGUG